CACGGAUUAUAAAUAAGGCUUUUUCUUGAGUCAGAGUAUCCUCAGAAGCUUGAAAGUCAGGAGGAUGGCAGCAGCCCCACUCCACCUCUUCCUUCUCCUCCUAUGUUUCACAGCUUCCAAUGGGCAGAUCACGCUCACCCAGCAAGCAGAGGCCCUUUGGGUUUCUCUAGGAGAGAGAGUCUCCAUCACCUGCAGGGCCAGUCAGAGCCUCCUCUACACAGAUGGAAAGCACUACCUAUCCUGGUACCAGCAGAGACCAGGGCACAACAUCAAGGCCCUCAUUUACCAUGCUUCAGUCAGGACUGAUGGAGUCCCCACAAGGUUCAUAGGCAGCGGAUCUGCAACAGAAUUCACCCUCACUAUUGAAGACAUUAAGGCUGAGGACUUUUCAGUUUAUCACUGUCUUCAAACACUGAAGAGCCCUUCCACAGUGAUAGAAUCUUGAACAAAAACACCCCAG